AGUGAACGCUGGCGGUAGGCCUAACACAUGCAAGUCGAACGGCAGCACAGUAAGAGCUUGCUCUUACGGGUGGCGAGUGGCGGACGGGUGAGGAAUACAUCGGAAUCUACUUUUUCGUGGGGGAUAACGAAGGGAAACUUACGCUAAUACCGCAUACGACCUACGGGUGAAAGCAGGGGAUCUUCGGACCUUGCGCGAUUGAAUGAGCCGAUGUCGGAUUAGCUAGUUGGCGGGGUAAAGGCCCACCAAGGCGACGAUCCGUAGCUGGUCUGAGAGGAUGAUUAGCGACACUGGAACUGAGACACGGUCCACACUCCUACGGGAGGCAGCAGUGGGGAAUAUUGGACAAUGGGCGCAAGCCUGAUCCAGCCAUACCGCGUGGGUGAAGAAGGCCUUCGGGUUGUAAAGCCCUUUUGUUGGGAAAGAAAAGCAGCAGGUUAAUACCCCGCUGUUCUGACGGUACCCAAAGAAUAAGCACCGGCUAACUUCGUG
rnacentral:rRNA from 1 species